ACAGCCAUACCAUGCUGAAUAUACCGGUUCUCGUUAAAUCACCGAAGUCAAGCAUCAUUGGGCGCGGUCAGUAUUUGGGUGGGUGACCACCUGGGAACACCGCGUGCCGUU
rnacentral:rRNA from 1 species